UGCUUAGUUCUGAAAGACCCCCGAAGGGAGACCCUCACUCAAGCCUCGGGACAGCCGCGGACCCAAGAAGACACUGAGACCG
rnacentral:pre_miRNA from 7 species